rnacentral:hammerhead_ribozyme from 1 species
AUCCACCUGACGAGUUCAAAAUAGGAUGAAAUGAGCAUCGUGAAU